rfam:Pteropus alecto contig97872, whole genome shotgun sequence.
GUCUACGGCCAUGCUACCCUGAAAAAGCCCGAUCCCGUCUGAUCUCGGAAGCUAAGCAGGGUCAGGCCUGGUUAGUACUUGGAUGGGAGACCACUUAGGAAGACCAGAUGCUGUAGGCG